AGAGUUUGAUCCUGGCUCAGGAUGAACGCUGGCGGCGUGCUUAACACAUGCAAGUCGAGCGAAGCACUUAAGUUUGAUUCUUCGGAUGAAGACUUUUGUGACUGAGCGGCGGACGGGUGAGUAACGCGUGGGUAACCUGCCUCAUACAGGGGGAUAACAGUUAGAAAUGACUGCUAAUACCGCAUAAGACCACAGGGUCGCAUGACCCGGUGGUGAAAACUCCGGUGGUAUGAGAUGGACCCGCGUCUGAUUAGCUAGUUGGUGGGGUAACGGCUCACCAAGGCGACGAUCAGUAGCCGACCUGAGAGGGUGACCGGCCACAUUGGGACUGAGACACGGCCCAAACUCCUACGGGAGGCAGCAGUGGGGAAUAUUGCACAAUGGGGGAAACCCUGAUGCAGCGACGCCGCGUGAAGGAUGAAGUAUUUCGGUAUGUAAACUUCUAUCAGCAGGGAAGAAAAUGACGGUACCUGACUAAGAAGCCCCGGCUAACUACGUGCCAGCAGCCGCGGUAAUACGUAGGGGGCAAGCGUUAUCCGGAUUUACUGGGUGUAAAGGGAGCGUAGACGGCAUGGCAAGUCUGAAGUGAAAGCCCGGGGCUCAACCCCGGGACUGCUUUGGAAACUGUCAGGCUAGAGUGCUGGAGAGGUAAGUGGAAUUCCUAGUGUAGCGGUGAAAUGCGUAGAUAUUAGGAGGAACACCAGUGGCGAAGGCGGCUUACUGGACAGUGACUGACGUUGAGGCUCGAAAGCGUGGGGAGCAAACAGGAUUAGAUACCCUGGUAGUCCACGCCGUAAACGAUGACUACUAGGUGUCGGGUAGCAAAGCUA
rnacentral:rRNA from 1 species